AACGCACGAGACCUGCGGACCUGCGGAAGGAUCAUUACCGAGUUUACAACUCCCAAACCCAAUGUGAACGUUACCAAACUGUUGCCUCGGCGGGAUCUCUGCCCCGGGUGCGUCGCAGCCCCGGACCAAGGCGCCCGCCAGAGGACCAACCAAAACUCUUUUGUAUACCCCCUCGCGGGUUUUUAUAUCUGAGCCAUCUCGGCGCCUCUCGUAGGCGUUUCGAAAAUGAAUCAAAACUUU
rnacentral:misc_RNA from 1 species